CAACCCCAGCUGGGCUGGCUGUGGGCUCUGCAAGCAGCAUGGACUGUGCCUGGCUCCCACCUCCUGUGCAGAGCUAAAAGCAGGGCCUGUGCCUCCGGAGGGACCUGAGAUCGGCCACAGGCAGGCGUGCAGAAAAUAAUAUUUAAUAAAUUAAACACUGGGUACCUGCAGACUUACUCUCCAGAUGGGACCCAUGGUUUCUCAAUAGGUUCCAUGUCACCUGGAAAAACAGCAUUUCUUGUGGGGAUUCCAGGAAAAGGAAGUAUUAAAGAUCUGUGGAGCCAGGGAAUGCAGCCUUCAGCAUUGAGCAGCCUCUGCUGUUCCAGAAUAAUGUGCAAUGAUGCUUGCAGCUACAGGGAGAAGAGAAGUAGCGCUAGUGGAUUAGAAAAGUGAUAAGACUAUGCAAGACUUGCCUUUCUGCGUAACGCCCCUGUGCAAGCCAGGAGAUGUCUGCAGACUGGUUCCGCUUUCAGCCCAGGUAAA